GUGCCUGUAGCUCAGUGGAUAGAGCAUCUAUUACCUAGCACAAAUUCGUAGGAUCAAAUCCUACCAGGCACA